CAAAAACAUGUCCUUAUGUAUGUAAUUUAAGGUCUAACCUGCCCACUGACUAAGUUGUUAAAUGGCCGCAGUAUUUUAACUGUGCAAAGGUAGCAUAAUCAUUAGUCUUUUAAUUGAAGGCUUGUAUGAAUGGUUGGACGUAAUAUAAACUGUCUCAUAUUAAAUUAAAAUUAGAAUUUUAUUUUUUAGUUAAAAAGCUAAAAUUUUAUUGAAAGACGAGAAGACCCUAUAGAUCUUUAUAAAUAAUUAUUUAUUAUUUUAUAGAUGUUUUUAUUAUUAAUUAAUUUAUUUAUUUUGUUGGGGUGACAUUAAAAUUUAUAUAACUUUUAAUUAUAUUUAUCCAUUAAUUUAUGAAAUAUUGAUCCAUUAUUAAUGAUUAAAAAUUUAAGUUACCUUAGGGAUAACAGCGUAAUUUUUCUGGAGAGUUCUUAUUGAUAGAAAAGAUUGCGACCUCGAUGUUGGACUAAAAAUAAUUUCAGGUGCAGUAGCUUGAAAUAUUAAGUCUGUUCGACUUUUAAUUUUUUACAUGAUCU
rnacentral:rRNA from 2 species